AGUGAACGCUGGCGGUAGGCCUAACACAUGCAAGUCGAACGGCAGCACAGGAGAGCUUGCUCUCUGGGUGGCGAGUGGCGGACGGGUGAGGAAUACAUCGGAAUCUACUCUGUCGUGGGGGAUAACGUAGGGAAACUUACGCUAAUACCGCAUACGACCUACGGGUGAAAGCAGGGGACCUUCGGGCCUUGCGCGAUUGAAUGAGCCGAUGUCGGAUUAGCUAGUUGGCGGGGUGAAGGCCCACCAAGGCGACGGUCCGUAGCUGGUCUGAGAGGAUGAUCAGCCACACUGGAACUGAGACACGGUCCAGACUCCUACGGGAGGCAGCAGUGGGGAAUAUUGGACAAUGGGCGCAAGCCUGAUCCAGCCAUACCGCGUGGGUGAAGAAGGCCUUCGGGUUGUAAAGCCCUUUUGUUGGGAAAGAAAUCCAGCUGGCUAAUACCCGGUUGGGAUGACGGUACCCAAAGAAUAAGCACCGGCUAACUUCGUGCCAGCCGCCGCGGUAA
rnacentral:rRNA from 1 species